AGUUUGAUCCUGGCUCAGAACGAACGCUGGCGGCAGGCUUAACACAUGCAAGUCGAACGCCCCGCAAGGGGAGUGGCAGACGGGUGAGUAACGCGUGGGAAUCUACCGUGCCCUGCGGAAUAGCUCCGGGAAACUGGAAUUAAUACCGCAUACGCCCUACGGGGGAAAGAUUUAUCGGGGUAUGAUGAGCCCGCGUUGGAUUAGCUAGUUGGUGGGGUAAAGGCCUACCAAGGCGACGAUCCAUAGCUGGUCUGAGAGGAUGAUCAGCCACAUUGGGACUGAGACACGGCCCAAACUCCUACGGGAGGCAGCAGUGGGGAAUAUUGGACAAUGGGCGCAAGCCUGAUCCAGCCAUGCCGCGUGAGUGAUGAAGGCCUUAGGGUUGUAAAGCUCUUUCACCGAUGAAGAUAAUGACGGUAGUCGGAGAAGAAGCCCCGGCUAACUUCGUGCCAGCAGCCGCGGUAA
rnacentral:rRNA from 1 species